rnacentral:rRNA from 1 species
CNUGAGGUGUCGGCUUAAGUGCCAUAACGAGCGCAACCCUCAUCGAUAGUUACUAACAGGUUAAGCUGAGGACUCUAUCGAGACUGCCGACGUAAGUCGUGAGGAAGGUGGGGAUGACGUCAAAUCAGCACGGNCCUNACGUCCAGGGCUACACACGUGUUACAAUGGGGGGUACAAAGGGCAGCUACCUGGCGACAGGAUGCUAAUCUCUAAAACCUCUCUCAGUUCGGAUUGGAGUCUGCAACCCGACUCCAUGAAGCUGGAUUCGCUAGUAAUCGCGCAUCAGCCACGGCGCGGUGAAUACGUUCCCGGGCCUUGUACACACCGCCCGUCAAGCCAUGGGAGCCGGGGGGACCUGAAGUAUGCAACCGUAAGGAGCGUCCUAGGGUAAAACUGGUGACUGGGGNUAAGUCGUANCAA